UACGUAGGGUGCGAGCGUUGCCCGGAUUUAUUGGGCGUAAAGCGCACGUAGGCGGAUUGUUAAGUCAGGGGUGAAAUCCUGGAGCUCAACUCCAGAACUGCCUUUGAUACUGGCGAUCUCGAGUCCGGGAGAGGUGAGUGGAACUGCGAGUGUAGAGGUGAAAUUCGUAGAUAUUCGCAAGAACACCAGUGGCGAAGGCGGCUCACUGGCCCGGUACUGACGCUGAGGUGCGAAAGCGUGGGGAGCAAACAGG
rnacentral:rRNA from 1 species